AUCAGGGGAGAGCGCGAACGCAGUCCCCCACUACCAGAAAUUAUGCAGUCGAGAUUCCCACAUUUGGGGAAUUCGCAGGGGUCAGCACAACCGGAGUGCAAUGGCUGAGCCUCACCCUGGGUGAACCACCUUCUUGAUCAUGGUAUCUCCCCUGCCAGAUUAUCAGGGGAGAGCGCGAACGCAGUCCCCCACUACCAGAAAUUAUGCAGUCGAGAUUCCCACAUUUGGGGAAUUCGCAGGGGUCAGCACAACCGGAGUGCAAUGGCUGAGCCUCACCCUGGGUGAACCACCUUCUUGAUCAUGGUAUCUCCCCUGCCAGAUUAUCAGGGGAGAGCGCGAACGCAGUCCCCCACUACCAGAAAUUAUGCAGUCGAGAUUCCCACAUUUGGGGAAUUCGCAGGGGUCAGCACAACCGGAGUGCAAUGGCUGAGCCUCACCCUGGGUGAACCACCUUCUUGAUCAUGGUAUCUCCCCUGCCAGGUAAGUAUGAGUUGCUCAGCUCACACACCGGGAUUCAUUUCACA